GCUUCCCAAAGAAAUGGUGGAGGUUUGUGAUGCAGACAUGGAUGGUGAUGCCACCUGCUUGCUGCCUGGCUCUGUGGUCGAUUGCAGUGCAGCUAUUGGCAUUGAAGACACUCUUACUCACUUGGAGGAUCACAGUGGUAGUUUGGUACCUUGUGGUGAGUUUUGUGCUUGCAUUCUUUUGAGAGUGCACCCGAGGGUCACGGGAUGGAAUCCCGACUGCGGCAGCCGCAUUUUCGAGGGAGAUAAAAAUGCAUGGGGGGGGGGACCGUGUAUAAAGAGCCCCAGGUGGUCCAAAUUUCCGCAGCCCCAGACUACAAUGUCCCUUAUAUCAU